GGCGACCGACUGGGCCGCAAAUCACCAUUGGGCGACGCGUCGACAGCGAUUCCCUAAGUAUGAGAGCGAUCAGUGAGCAACCUUGAGGAAAUGUCAGCCACUCACCGGAUGUGGGAUUGAGCUCCAAGGCGUGCUGAAUACCAGACAGAAAGACGCUAGCUGAAUAGAGAAGAUGUCUCAAGCAGGGUGAUGAAGGAGAGUAUCAGCUAAUGAGAAUUCCUAGAAUCAAAUCCAAGUUUGCUGAAUGUGAAAAUCAAUGAAGAAAAUUGCCCGAAAAGGGAGUUUUUAAAGAUUAUUUCCUGGUGUAGGUUCAAGACUUUUUUGUGGUUGUACUAAUGAAACAAUUUUGCAACUAUGUGAAACUGACUUUAUGUGAGUUUUACACCAUUUUUUACAAAAAUGACAAGUUAUUCCAUUCAAACAGAGGUAGGUGCAGAUGUGUUUUUUUCAGGCAUGAAACGUUUAUUAAGUCUAUUUACUGGUAGACUGAUUCAAUCAAAGUUCAUGUUCUUAAGUAAA